rnacentral:lncRNA from 1 species
CAACAAAAAGUUUUGUCACUGUGGACUGUGUAGCUGCAAAUAUAGAUCUUACAUAUCAUGUGGGUUUUCCCGCUAUGUAACCUACACCAAGAUCCUGGUUCGGGAGGGUACCUACCCCAGUAAACCUACAGCGUUCGCAGGUCAUCAUGCAGUCCUUGAGUUUACAAGAUCGGAAGGUUAUUAGCCAGAUCUUCAUAGAACUAGAUGCGGACGGAAAUGGAUACCUUGACCGACAGGAGUUUGGAACUUGCUUCCGCAGACUUGGCUUCAAACUGACUGCUGUGCAGGAGGAGGGUCUGUUCAGAGCUGUGGAUGCAAAUAUGGAUGGAAGGUCACUCUCGAUGAAUUCUUAGAGGUAUUCACUCAGGCCCAAGAAAGUGAACCAGCUCUCAGCACGCAAGCAGAACUACGGCGUGCAUUUGAGGAGAUGGAUGUCAAUGGGGAUGGCUACUUGAGCUC